UGACGGUAGUCCCGGUUUAAGCGUGCAGGUGGAUGUUUUUGGAAAAUCCGGAACAUCAUUAACACUGAGGCGUGAUGACGAGUCACUACGGUGAUGAAGCAACUGAUGCUACGCUUCCAGGAAAAGCCUCUAAGCACCAGGUAACAGUCAAUCGUACCCCAAACCGACACAGGUGGUCAGGUAGAGAAUACUCAGGCGCUUGAGAGAACUCGGGUGAAGGAACUAGGCAAAAUGGUGCCGUAACUUCGGGAGAAGGCACGCUGGCGCGUAGGUGAAGUCCCUGGCGGAUGGAGCCGAAGCCAGUCGCAGAUACCAGCUGGCUGCAACUGUUUAAUAAAAACACAGCACUGUGCAAACACGAAA
rnacentral:rRNA from 1 species